AGAUACCCUAUUAUAAGAAUUGUAUAUUAUUAAAUCAGAGUAGUAGUAGUUAAGAUCUUGAAACUCAAAAAAUUUGGCGGUAUUUUAGUCUAUUUAGAGGAACCUGUAGUAUAAUCGAUAAUCCACGAUGGACCUCACUUAAUUUUGUUUAUCAGUUUGUAUACCGCUGUUAUUUGAAAAUUUUAUAAGAAUAAUAAUUUUCAUAAUUUUUUUUAAAAAAUAAAUCAGGUCAAGGUGCAGCUUAUAAUUAAGUAUUUAUGGGUUACAAUAAAUUUAUUUAUACGGAUAAAAGUUUGAAAUAAUUUUUUAAAGGAGGAUUUAAUAGUAAAUUUUAAUAGAUAAUAAAAUUGAUUUUAGCUCUAAAAUAUGCACACAUCGCCCGUCGCUCUUA
rnacentral:rRNA from 1 species